AGUGAACGCUGGCGGUAGGCCUAACACAUGCAAGUCGAACGGCAGCACAGGAGAGCUUGCUCUCUGGGUGGCGAGUGGCGGACGGGUGAGGAAUACAUCGGAAUCUACUCUGUCGUGGGGGAUAACGUAGGGAAACUUACGCUGAUACCGCAUACGACCUACGGGUGAAAGCAGGGGACCUUCGGGCCUUGCGCGAUUGAAUGAGCCGAUGUCGGAUUAGCUAGUUGGCGGGGUAAAGGCCCACCAAGGCGACGAUCCGUAGCUGGUCUGAGAGGAUGAUCAGCCACACUGGAACUGGGACACGGUCCAGAGUCCUACGGGAGGCAGCAGUGGGGAAUAUUGGGCAAUGGGCGCAAGCCUGAUCCAGCCAUACCGCGUGGGUGAAGAAGGCCUUCGGGUUGUAAAGCCCUUUUGUUGGGAAAGAAAUCCAGCUGGCUAAUACCCGGUUGGGAUGACGGUACCCAAAGAAUAAGCACCGGCUAACUUCGUGCCAGCCGCCGCCGUAA
rnacentral:rRNA from 1 species